AUUGAACGCUGGCGGCAUGCUUUACACAUGCAAGUCGAACGGCAGCGCGGGCUUCGGCCUGGCGGCGAGUGGCGAACGGGUGAGUAAUACAUCGGAACGUGCCCAGUAGUGGGGGAUAGCUCGGCGAAAGCCGGAUUAAUACCGCAUACGACCUGAGGGUGAAAGCGGGGAUCUUCGGACCUCGCGCCUUUGGGGCGGCCGAUGGCCGAUUAGCUAGUUGGUGGGGUAAAGGCCUACCAAGGCGACGAUCUGUAGCUGGUCUGAGAGGACGACCAGCCACACUGGGACUGAGACACGGCCCAGACUCCUACGGGAGGCAGCAGUGGGGAAUUUUGGACAAUGGGCGAAAGCCUGAUCCAGCAAUGCCGCGUGUGUGAUGAAGGCCUUCGGGUUGUAAAGCACUUUUGGCGGGAACGAAAAGGACUGUGCCAAUACCACGGUUCGAUGACGGUACCCGCAGAAUAAGCACCGGCUAACUACGUG
rnacentral:rRNA from 1 species